UCUAGUCCUCCCCCGAUGAUGUAAUCAAUGCAGCAAGCUUUGAACUUGCUCCACUAAGAAUUCCUACGGCUAUCCUGGUGAAGACACUUCGUCCCCUUCACUGUGCAUGCCAUUCAUAUAUUUUCCUAACCCCCUUUCAGUCAUUUUUGCUGUAUAAUAAUGAAAGACACAGAUCAUUUACUGCCAAUAAAUGUAGUUUCAUUACAAAAUGGUGCCAGAUUUAAAGCAGUACACUUCACCGAGACUGUUCCCUAUAUACAAUUCAGACACAGGGAAUCAGUGGAGUGUUUCAGCCUCAUAUAGGGAACGUGCUCUAUGGAUUCUGAUGACUCAAGAGAAAUGGGACUCCAAUGCAGUAGGCCAUUCGCCUAUCACUGUCUUAAUGGCCACUGCAGCUUCUGGCUCACUCUGCCACAUGUGUAAGGGGGAUCUCUGCAGUGGGACACACUCAUGCAGAUGUGCACCCUCACUCUUAACAGGCCCACACUCCAAUCCAUGAAAGUUCAAUACACAUGCAGGUUAUAGCGCGAGGUAAAUAAACAUUGAAAAACAUGAUUUUUGCAAAUAGGAAAAGUAAAAAAUAAAAAAAACAACAGAGUAAGCGAGGAACUCUAUCAGAGUGGGGCAAAACCAAAGCAUGGGGAGAAAAUGUCAAGGUGUAUAAGAGUGCGCUGUAGCGGAAAUGGGAAAUGCUGGCUUUUGUGACUUUGUUCCGUUUAUUGAUAAGGUCAUCAGUAUGAAAGUGCUUGGACACAGUAGAGUGGAGUGCAGUCACCGUCCAGCUACUGUACAGUAGCCCAGACUGCAGAGAGAGGAAGACAGAGAGACUGCUGAGCUACGCUGUAACUCCAGGGUGCUGCGCUUGUAAACCCGCGUACUGGGGCGCUCUCUGCUCUACAGGAACAUGCCUUGACUUGUACCGGCUUGUCUGAAGGCAGCUCGGGUUUGUGGUCAACACAGCAGCUGUGUGUGUGUGUUUGUGUGUUUGUUUGUUCCCUCUGCACACUGACCCUGACCAGGGUAAAGACAACUACACACGUCUUGUUUCUACCGGUACCUCUGUGUGUCUGUUCUGUGCACUGGACUUACAGCUUUAAGCCCCUGGACUAGCAACUAUGUCGGUGGUUGUCCCUUCACUGGAAAACCCCAACUUUACCAUACUUUAGUCUGUUCCUUCACACAGAGAGCGACGGUUAAUCUGCUCCUGCAGCCCAAAGAGACAUUAGCAGCUUCAUCAGAUGUUCUUGCAGUGACUGAGAAAAAAAAGCAGGUACAGUGGUGAGCUCAUUUAUGUAUUAUUCUUUGUGCCUCUGUGUGUUCCCUAAGUCUGUCUCUCUAUUCAUUUCUCCAUCUUUCCUACCUUAUUUCCAUAUUUCAUAUACAAUAGCUUGGUCAUUUUUAUGUAAACCUUCUAUUCAUGACCUCAUGUGACCCUUGGGUGCCUGAUGUUAACUCGUUUAGUAAACAGGAAGUUACAAAAAGCAGUAGUAUUUUCACAACAAACAAGGAGGAAAAACUAUGUCUAAAAGGAUUUUUUUAUUCCUGAGGGUUUCAUUUUCGACCACCAGACGCAGGAUUAGCGUCCUAUAGCGUCACUUUCACACUGUGAGUAAAUUUGAGAGAAGUAUAGAUGAUGACUCAGGACGUUAGGAAUGUCAAAUCCCUUAUAUCAACCUAUUUUUGAGAGCUACGAUGUGAAUCAGUAAGGAGGUCAUGUGUCAGAGGUGUGCAGGCACACACACGCUGGUGGCAGGGCUGGGGAGUGCCGGCUGGCAGUCGCAUGUUUUUCCCCUACUUCCUGAAGGCCGGUAUUAGGGAUUACAUCAGGGUUAAGGCAGCAUGGAAUUCCUGCCGUCAUGUGCCCUCGUCUGCCUCAUGAGACACACGCACGAACACGACGCUGUAGUUUGGCAAGUGUAGCAGAAAGGAGAUCACGAGGUUUUUGAUUGCGUUUGUGCCUCUGUAUGUGUGUGUGUGUGUGUGUGUGUGUGUGUGUAUGUGUGUGUUGUUGGUAGGGAUUGUGAGGCUGUAAGUUUUGCAUAGUCUAGGCCAAAAACAGUGACAGCUUUCUUUCCUUUUGCUAUGAGGUAAGGUGGAAAGAUUCCAUGUAUGUAUUAUCUGGAAAUUGAUGGUUUUAUGACCACAAUGUGUUUAAAAGGUUGUGUUUAUGAGUAUGAUGUGUUUUACUGCACCAUUACCUCGAUCAGUUUCAGUGGCACUGGCAGUUGGAUCCACCUGUAAUUUUGUGCUGAACAUGUGAUCAGACAAGUGGCAUGUCGGCUCACAUAUUUUUCUAGUCAAAAGAGUUCUCCGCCUCAAGCAAGCGUGUAAAGAGGUGACGUGCAAUGAUGCAACAGCACGCACCUGGCAUUGCAGGACCAACAGGGUGUGUUAAAUAUGAAAAUGAAACAGACGAUAGAACAGGAGGAUAACUAGAUUAGAAGUGUGUCUAAUAUUUAUUUAACAGAGCUUGUAAUUUUCAUGGGGAGAACAAAAAAUUGGGUAUGACUUUAUACAUUAUAAGAGUUUAAGCUUACUUGCUGUGUUGCUCAACUCAAGAUCAGUUUCAGUUUGACUCAAUUGCUUUCAGUCAUUCCCACAAUCCUUGGCCGAAAUGACUCUUGAAUAAGGCAGUAAGCAGAGCAGGAACUGAAAUAGCCUCCUAAUUACAGGUGUGUUUGCUCAAGCACUGAUAACACAUCUGGCCCCUGGAAUGUUGUGUCAGCACCUAUCAUAAAACAGCAUGAAUGGUGCCAGACUGUCCGAUACUGGAAGCACAGCCUCAGAGGUGGAUAAGUUACUGUUUCAGUACAUUAUUGUCCUCUUCAAUGAUUAUAUACAUUUUAUUACCUGUGGUGAGCAUCCAGUAGAGUCUAAGAUGUGUGAUUAGAUGAGUGAUUCGCUGGCUAUUUUGAUGAAUCACAGCUUUCAUGUGAUCCAACGACAUAAAUAAUGUGGGUUAAAAACAAUACAGACCAAUCAUUAACCACGUUGCAUGAUAGUUUGACCAGUUCAUUUAAACAUAUCACAAUUUUUGUAUAAUCACAUCACAGUAUAAUUGCAGUAUACAGAAUUUUUUUUCCAAUCAUCCCUCCACUCAUCCUUCCUCUCACCUGAUAAAUAUUUAGUCUCUCUAAUCUCUUUAUCAUAUUGGAAAUAAUGAUAGAAAAUGAGGCUUUAUGACAGUGAGGUCACUAAUUAAAGGAAUAUUCAAUACUCAAUAUUUCAAUCCAAUCUCUAACUACUAAUUCUGUAAUAUAUGUGUAAUUACCAUGGGUAAGACUUUUGAUGUUUCCAUAUGCUGAGAAAAAAAACCCAGACAACAUAUUUACUUGAAAUUCACUUAUAAUGGACAUUUGAGGGCAGUUGUUCAGUUACAUCAAUAAAUGUUUACAGUACACAUCCAUAUAACUACAACUUUUCAAUCCUGGGAAAUGUAAUUAUCCUUAUUUACACUAUAUAAUACAUGAAAUUUCAUGUAAUUCAUGAAAGCAUUCUAUACCCUAACAACUGUCCUUAUACUUCCAUUCUAAGUGAGUGUCAAGUAAACAUGUUUUUUAUUCUUUUAUCCAUGCAGGGAAACAUGGAAACUCUUGUCUGUGGUAAUCGCACAUUCACUAUACAGAUGCAAUAAACAGAGAUUACUUUGCAAAAUGGUGGCGUAUUCUAUUAAUCGAUUUAAUUUUAACUGUAGAAACAAGCGCAGAUCUGAGACUUAAGACAUAUGAAUCAGUCUAUGAUUCAUGAAACUGUCACGCAGCAUAAAAACAAGCAUGAUUUGAACACAGUUGAUGAAUCAGUUUCAGCUGCAUGGAUGCAAGCUCCCGCCCACUAUUUAAAUGUCAUAUGAAUACAAGCCUCAGUUUAACCUCAUAUACCUCAUAUCUAAUUUUCAUGAAAUACAUCCUAAUAAUAGUGAUAGUAAGCCAAUAAUAGGAAAGCAUUCAGUGGUUAUUCAAGAUCGGAAGGAAGAGGUAAAUGAAGAGGAGAAAAGAAAUUUCAGUGAAGCUGAGUUAGAGGUGUUUUCCAAAGCCUCAGAAACGGCAUAGAAGGUAAGCACAAAAUGAGAACUUAAAAUAAAAUCGAUCAAUAAAUUAAAACUACUUGAACAGAGGAAAGGACGGUAUGAAAGGUUUGGCUUUUCCAAUCCCUUGUUUUAACUGAAAUUAAUGGAAGCUUGUAGGUGUAUAUACAUAGAUAGAUAUGGACAGGUGUGCUGCGUUUUUUAAAUAAAGCUGUUUAAUAUCAAAAUCAGUUGGAACGUGAACUAUUUAUAGCUAGAUUUUUAUUUGAAUUAUCUGAUAUAUUUUUUACUAUAAUAGGUCAGAUUUAUUUAAUGAUUUAUCUAUAAGUAUAGGUGAGGCAUGUUCCCAUCCUGAACAAACCUUAUUUUCUGGGAAAAAAUGAAACAUUAAAAAUCAGACUAACAAAAUGAAUAAAUCGCACAUGUGUUUUAGUGUUGAAAUUAGAUUGUGUUAUAACCUCAAAAACCUCUGUCCAAACCUGUCCAAACCUCUGUGUCCAGGUCACGGUGUUAUGGUGCCUCUUGUACACAAAUGCACCACAAACUACUCAACUCAAGGGCUAAUAAGCUGACAAAGAUUCACAUUUGCUAAUUCUGAUUCAUACUUAUAAACUGACACUUGACACUUAACCUCACUAGCUAUAUAUUAGUACAAGGUUUCUGUGGUUAGUAACGUUCUUUCAUUUUUAUUUUUAUUACCUAUACUACUACUGCUUGCUACAUUUGCUCUUAUUAUUGAUGAUAUUGGUAUUAUUUCAGGUUGUUGAAUAUUUACACGCACUCCAUAUAGAUAUUUGCUCGUACAGAUAUUGACAGAAUUUGUGUACUCGCAUUUGGUGAUCAGAUUUGACCAAACACAAGUGUGAUGAAUGAGGGUCACUGUUUCACACUGGGAUUUAUGAGCUUGCAGUUGCUGACUGUGAGAGUAAUGCAUAAAGCUUGACCACAUUGUCCUUGACAGGCACUGAUUUCUCUCUCUCAACCUCUCUCUCUCUCUCUCUCUCUCUCUGUCUUGUUCAUCCUUUUCUUUCCUUCUCUAUUGUAAGUGAGAGGAGCAGGCCGGCUUCUAUCAGCUGUGAGACCCAUGUCUUUGUCAGAGCAGUGAAGAAAGAGAGAGAGAGAGGGAGAGAGAGAGAGAGAGAGGGAGAGAGAGAGAGAGAGGCAAGUAACCUAAAAUAACCCAGUGGUGGGGAAUACCAACUGAUAAACCUGAACACUGUCUCUGUGGGUGUUCAGCAACUCAUAGCCUGGGCUCUACCACUUUUCUUCCUCUCACACUCCUACGGCAUGUUCAUAUCAGCCACCUUUCUUAGAAACACCAACACAUGCACACACUCACACACACACAUUCACACACACACACACACACACACACACCAAAAAAACUAUACUCCCUCAUCUAAUAAGUUCUUUAAGGCAAAUAUAGUGAGUCACCACUUUUUAUGAGGUUGAGAAUGUGAUCAUAGUUUAUAGCCUAGAGAGACACAUUGGCAAAAGACUGCACUUACCUACACAAAGUCGCAUAAGUCUCUUUUUGGGCCUUUUCUUGUUUAUUUUUUAAAACCGUCUAGUUUAUUUUUUUAAGAUUACACCCUUUUGUAUCUAGGGGGUCAGAGUGUUUUGUGGACUAUGUAACUACGGAGUGACUGUAUAUGCCCUCCACCCAUAUGAAUACACACACACGCACGCACACACACACGGGCACACACACACACACACACACACACACACACACAGCUCAUGUCUCAUUCUGUAAUAUAUCAAACAAAUUCAGAGGAAUAUUUACAUGCCGUAUUCCCAGUCCCUGGUUGGUUGCUGUCCACAACUGGUUGUCUUGUAUUCUGAAUUCUUAGUCAUUUCAAUUUUAUUCUAUACUGGUUCCUUUUUAUUCUGUGCAUUUACAUUGCUUAUGGUGUCAGAUAAAUUUAUAUAAAAAGUAAUGCGUAAGACUCUGGACUACCGAGGUACCUCUUUAUAACUUUGAACAGGUAAAAGAGGGCGUGACAGUGAAACAUGUUUGCUGAAAAUAUAAUUACAGUCAUUUGAAGUGUUUAAAGUAACAGUAUUUUGGAUAUUGAGUGACACUGAAUUACUGUGCACAAUUAGUGUAGUAUAUCCUGAGCUAAAAUAGCUUUAUAGCUCAUAUCUAGUAUAAAAAGAAUACCUGUUAUAUAUGCCAUGAGCAUCGUGUUCCCCAAAAGUUAAAAUGAAACAUGAAACCUACACCACUUUCAUAACUUUUUUUUUUUUUUUACACAGAAUCAACUCAUCAUCUCUGUUAAAAAAGAGAACUUCAAGACUGUUACACCUUAGUGUGAAAUUUUUGCACUUGUCUGUCAUCAGCUGCUAUAGUAAAACAUUUGGACAUUCAAGAAACAGCUCAUAAAAACCCCUGCUUGCUGACACAAAGGCUUCCAGGAAGUAGGACGUGUAUAUCCAAAAUGAGUUCUCAAGGGAAGAGCACGAGGAAAAUAAAGAGGAGAAGUAAAAGAGCGGAAGAGAAGGAGGAAAGUAGAAGAGGAGGCGUGUUAAGAGAAGAGGCUAUUGUGAGUGUUUCUCUGGCAGUGUCUUAGCUGGUUGUUGUGAGGAGUGAGAACGAAGCAAUCAGCAAGUAUACUGCCGCAGAAACUCGUCACCAUGCGAAGCCUGUCCAGCAUCUUCAACACGUUAACCUAGAGAAAGAAGGAACUCCAUUUUAUCCCUUCAGCCUCCAUUUCAGGACUGCUCAGCACUGUGAGACAGUGACAUAUUCCUUAAUAUUUGCACAUUCAUUUCUCAUUUCUUGUGUAGUGUUUCAUUCUGUAAUGUAUUAUAAUUUUAAACUGUGUUCUCUUGUUUCUAUGAGUUUCUCUUGUAAUAAAAUGAGGUGAAAUAUGCUGCACAAUUUUGCUUUUUGACCAGCAAGGCUUCAGUCACCUGUUGCAAUAAACCUUUUUUUUUUUUAUAGCACCUUUUGACAGUGGCAGUCUGGCCGUAAUGUGGGCUCGCUGUCAUCCUGGCAUGUAGUUGAACAUCUGCAGUUGUUUCACAGACUGACGACACUUAGGUCUUAAUAAAGUAGCUGCUAUCUAGCACUUCUCUCUUUUUAAGCUGUGAUUGCAUUAAGUGUACCACUUUGCUGAAACAUAGUAGAGAAGUCAGACAUCCAUUUGGCUGUGCCAGAGAGCCUUUUUUUCCAAGAUGUUAAGUCUGUUCCAAAGUCUGCUUCAGCAGAUUACGAUAAUAUGAUUCUUAAAGGAAAACACUGAAACACAAUAAAUAUGCUUAUAUUGAAAUAUUUGUGAUGUGCUUAGCAAUUCUGAUGCUGAUUUGUCUGCUGGUGCCGUAUUUUUGUUAUUGCCAUGAGACGUUGUCUCAGGGACAUUGCUAGCGCAGUUACAAUGGCAGUCAAUAGGAGAAAUAAUUUGGAAACAUACGUGAGAAUGGUCAGGUAUGACUGUUAUCAGAGUCAGAAUCACUUUAUUGGACAAAUGUACAAGUGUACAUGAAUUUAGAACAUACAAUACACAAACAAACAAGAUUUAAACAGACCUACAAAAUUGCGGAUUAUAAAAUAUAGUAUAAUAAACACAAUACAAAUACAAAGUCUACAUACAACACUAUAUGGUAAAUGGAAGGGCAGUUUUGCUUAUUUGUGGCUUGUUGAGAGAAUCAACAACACUUAGGGAAAAAGUUUCUGAAACACAUUUUUUUUUCAGCUCGGUUCUUCGCCCUGACGUCAUGCAGCUCCAGAACUGAGAGCUGCUGCUGACUGAUCAGCAUUUCUGCUGUGCUGUCUGUCUCUAAACAGGAAGAGCCUGAGCUGAAUCACACAGUUAUAGAUGAGGUUAAGAUGCUUUCAGUGAUGGAUCGGUUGUACUAAAACAGAACCUUUUGAGAAAUGUUAAGUUUCCACGACUUUCUUAGAAAGAACACUCCUGAAAAGAGCAAGAGUUUCUUUCACCAUUUUUCAGCGAUGUUCAGUGUCACAGAUGAAGAGCUGAGAGAGCUGGACAGA